GCACAAGCGGUGGAGUAUGUGGUUUAAUCGACGCAACGCGCAGAACCUUACCUAGACUUGACAUCCCGGGGAUUUUCUGGAAACAGAGAAGUGCUUUAGCAAUAAAGAACCCGGUGACAGGUGCUGCAUGGCUGUCGUCAGCUCGUGUCGUGAGAUGUUGGGUUAAGUCCCGCAACGAGCGCAACCCUCGCCUUUAGUUGCCAGCAUUCAGUUGGGCACUCUAAAGGGACUGCCGGUGUCAAACCGGAGGAAGGUGGGGAUGACGUCAAGUCCUCAUGGCCUUUAUGACCAGGGCUACACACGUACUACAAUGGCCGGUACAAAGGGCAGCGACACAGCGAUGUGAAGCCAAUCCCGAAAAGCCGGUCUCAGUCCGGAUUGGAGUCUGCAACUCGACUCCAUGAAGUUGGAAUCGCUAGUAAUCGCGGAUCAGCACGCCGCGGUGAAUACGUUCCCGGGCCUU
rnacentral:rRNA from 1 species